GAUGAACGCUAGCGGCAGGCUUAAUACAUGCAAGUCGAACGGUAACAGGUCUUCGGACGCUGACGAGUGGCGCACGGGUGAGGAACACGUACACAAUCUACCUUAUACUGGAGAAUAGCCCCGGGAAACUGGGAUUAAUACUCCAUAGUCUUUAAUGAUCACAUGAGAAAUAAAGUAAAGCUUCGGCGGUAUAAGAUGAGUGUGCGUCCCAUUAGAUUGUUGGUGAGGUAACGGCUCACCAAGUCGACGAUGGGUAGCUGGCGUGAGAGCGCGACCAGCCACACUGGCACUGAGACACGGGCCAGACUCCUACGGGAGGCAGCAGUAGGGAAUAUUGGUCAAUGGACGAAAGUCUGAACCAGCCAUGCCGCGUGGAGGAUGACUGCCCUCUGGGUUGUAAACUCCUUUUAUAUGGGAAGAAACCUCUGGAUUCACUCCAGAGCUGACGGUAUCAUAUGAAUAAGCA
rnacentral:rRNA from 1 species